rnacentral:rRNA from 1 species
AACGAACGCUGGCGGCAUGCCUAACACAUGCAAGUCGAACGAGACCUUCGGGUCUAGUGGCGCACGGGUGCGUAACGCGUGGGAACCUGCCCUUAGGUUCGGAAUAACUCCCCGAAAGGGGUGCUAAUACCGGAUAAUGUCUCCGGACCAAAGAUUUAUCGCCUUUGGAUGGGCCCGCGUUGGCUUAGCUAGUUGGUAGGGUAAAAGCCUACCAAGGCGACGAUCCAUAGCUGGUCUGAGAGGAUGAUCAGCCACACUGGGACUGAGACACGGCCCAGACUCCUACGGGAGGCAGCAGUGGGGAAUAUUGGACAGUGGGCGAAAGCCUGAUCCAGCAAUGCCGCGUGAGUGAUGAAGGCCUUAGGGUUGUAAAGCUCUUUUACCCGGGAUGAUAAUGACAGUACCGGGAGAAUAAGCUCCGGCUAACUCCGUG